rnacentral:lncRNA from 1 species
ACCAAAGAGGAGAAUGUCCUUCCGGUGAGUUUUUGACAAAUCUAAAAGAGAAUAGAAUUCUUUCUUAUUGGAAUCAACUUUGUUAGACAUAGUUUGAUCCAUGAUAGAGUUUGCAAGUCUGUCAGUCUGUUUUUAGGGUUAUACUCUUAAGACUCUUGUUAUGUUCUGAGCUGGAUUCUAAAUUAAUCAGUCGUAAUGACUCCAUAUGAGAUAUGGACUAGACGUAAGCUAAUACUUUCUUACCUUAGAAUUUUGGAGUAUUCAAUUU